AGCUUUCAUGCAUAUAUGGGCAAUUGGGGCAUCUGUGAUGAAGUGCUGUUGACAGAAGUAUGGCCCGUGGUAACAUGAUUGCUAUAAUAAGGAACCAUGAAGAGCCUUUCACCUCUAGCCAUGAUUCUGAGAACUUCCCAGCCAUGUGGAACUAUCCAUCUACAAGUAUAUUUUUUCAUUACAAAUAAUUCAAGAAAAAGAAAUCAUUGAAGAUAAAUGAAACAUUGUAUUACAUUUUAUGCCAGGUAUUUUGCCAAAAAAAUUGUUUAAAAAGAAGCCAGUUUAAUUAGAAAUAUGAAGUAACUAUUGAAUUGUUCUAUUUGCAAUGAAAUAAAUUGUAAUCAUGCAGGAAAAAUUUCCUUAGAACAAA
rnacentral:lncRNA from 10 species